CCGCACCUGGCCGAAAAGGUCUAAUUUUCUUUUCUAGAAGCAAGUUGUCCUGAUUGUGUGUUUUUGGACAGUCUCACAUCUCCCUGCCAAUUCAAAAUGACACCUUUCACACACUCUGACUUUCCACAUGUUCAGGGUCAGUUUCUGGACUUCCUAAUCCUGCCCUGAUCUCCAUUCUAUUUCUGCAUCCACACCACAGCUUCUGAUUCCCACAGCUUGAGUUCAUUUUGCUACCUGAUAGGCACCUUCCAGCCUGAGGAACAGUGAUUUGCAGGCAACGUGUACCUCCUAGGCUGUCCCUGGAUUUGCAGAGAUGGAGUCUCGCUCUGUUGUCCAGGCUGAAGUGCCAUGGUUUGAUCUUGGCUCACUGCAACCUCCGCCUCCCAGGCUCAAGCGAUUCUCCUACCUCAACCUCCUGAGUAGCUGGGAUUACAGCCUUAAAGCCCACUCUCAUCUUGCAAGCCUCUGAAGCCACCAGUUUUCUGAGAUGUUCCUCCCGGCCCCGGAGACCACGGAUGUGGCUACCUUCUCAGAAUAUAGAUGUUUCCAUUGCGGCAGGCCGCGGCAAGCCGGAACUCAACAUCAAACUGGCCAGAAACCUCUAGGAAGACGGGGACGCUGGGAAGGCUCAUCUGCAAACAAGAAGCGCAAACACUCCAAUUUCUCUGGAGCCCCCGUCCCUCCCUGCCCUGUCAGUAACUCCUCUGAGUGAGUGCCUGGUCUAAAGUCCCAAUCUCCUCACUUACACCCAGUUUAAACUCAUACAGUUUUUCAGGAGGGAAACUUGGGGCAACAUUUAGCAAAAGCCUUUUAGUCUGUGCCUUUUGACUAAACGAUGCCACUUCUAGGACUGCAUCCUAAGGAUGUACUUAAACAACCGUGCAGCUGGGUGUGGUGGCCCACACCUGUAAUCCCAACACUUUGAGAGGCUGAGGCGGGUGGAUCGCUUGAGCUCAGGAGUUCAAGACCAGCCUGUCCAACAUGGCAAAACUUUGUCUCUACCAAAAGUACAAAACUUAGCUGGGCGUGGUGGUCCCACAGAUGAGAAGAUGAGGUGAGAGGACUGUUUGAGCCCAGGUGGCAUAGGUUGCAGUAAGCUGAGAUUGUACCACUGCACUUCAGCCUGGGCAAGAGAACAAGAUUGUCUCAAAAACAAACAAACAAGCAUGCAAGGAUAUUUGGGUAAAAAGGUCUAUAGCAUUGGUAUUAAUAGCAAAAAAUGAAAAACAGUUUAAAUGUACAAUAGGUGACAGGGUAAAUAAAUUAUGGUACCUCAAUAUGAUGGAUAUUGCGUGGUCUUUAAAAAGGCUGAUGUGGGGUCAGGCGUGGU
rnacentral:lncRNA from 1 species